AGUGAACGCUGGCGGCAUGCCUUACACAUGCAAGUCGAACGGUAACAGGUCUUUCGGGAUGCUAACGAGUGGCGAACGGGUGAGUAAUACAUCGGAACGUGCCUAGUAGUGGGGGAUAACUACUCGAAAGAGUGGAUAAUACCGCAUGAGAUCUAUGGAUGAAAGCAGGGGACCUUCGGGCCUUGUGCUACUAGAGCGGGCGAUGGUAGCUUAGGGCGGUGGUGGGAUAAAAGCAUAACAAGCCUGCGAUCUGUAGCUGGUCUGAGAGGACGGUCAGCCACACAGGGACUGAGACACGGCCCAGACUCCUACGGGAGGCAGCAGUGGGGAAUUUUGGACAAUGGGCGAACCCCUGAUCCAGCAAUGCCGCGUGCAGGAUGAAGGCCUUCGUGUUGUAAACUGCUUUUGUACGGAACGAAAAGUCUUGGGUUAAUACCCUGGGAUCAUGACGGUACCGUAAGAAUAAGCACCGACUAACUACGUGCCAGCCGCCGCAGUAAAAC
rnacentral:rRNA from 1 species